rnacentral:tRNA from 1 species
AGGGAUAUAGCCAAUCGGUAAGGCAGCGCACUGUUAAUGCGUGACAUGCAGGUUCGAGUCCUGCUAUCCCUGCCA